CCUACGGGAGGCAGCAGUGAGGAAUAUUGGUCAAUGGGCGCAAGCCUGAACCAGCCAAGCAGCGUGAAGGAUGACUGCCCUAGGGGUUGUAAACUUCUUUUAUAUGGGAAUAAAGUGCAGUAUGUAUACUGCUUUGCAUGUACCUUAUGAAUAAGGAUCGGCUAACUCCGUGCCAGCAGCCGCGGUAAUACGGAGGAUCCGAGCGUUAUCCGGAUUUAUUGGGUUUAAAGGGAGCGUAGGCGGGUUGUUAAGUCAGGUGUGAAAGUUUGCGGCUCAACCGUCAAAUUGCAGUUGAUACUGGCAGCCUUGAGGACAGUAGAGGUAGGCGGAAUUCGUGGUGUAGCGGUGAAAUGCUUAGAUAUCACGAAGAACUCCGAUUGCGAAGGCAGCCUGCUGGACUGUAACUGACGCUGAGGCUCGAAAGUGUGGGUAUCAAACAGGAUUAGAUACCCCGGUAGUC
rnacentral:rRNA from 1 species